GACGAACGCUGGCGGCGUGCUUAACACAUGCAAGUCGAACGGUAAGGCCCCUUCGGGGGUACACGAGUGGCGAACGGGGGAGUAACACGUGCGCAACCAGCCCCUGACUUUGGGAUACCAGCUGGAAACAGCUGCCAAUACCGGUAAUGACCUCUUCACUGAUGGGUUGAGGUGGAAAGCCCCGGCGGUCAGGGCUGGGCCCUCGGCCUAUCAGCUUGUUGGCGUGGUAAGGGCUCACCAACGCGGCGGCGGAUAGCCGGCCUGAGAGGGCGACCGGCCACCCUGGGCCUACGAUAGGGCCCAGUCGGCUACGGGACGCAGAAGUGGGGAGUCUUACGCAGUGGGCGCAAGCCUGUUGCGGCAGCGCCGCGUGCGGAAUGCCCUCUUUCGAGUUGUAAACCGCUUUCUGUAUGACCGAAGCUAACGUGACGGUACCUACAGAAGAAGGACCGGCUAACUACGUG
rnacentral:rRNA from 1 species